rnacentral:rRNA from 1 species
GAUGAACGCUGGCGGCGUGCCUAAUACAUGCAAGUCGAGCGAACAGAUGAGGAGCUUGCUCCUCUGACGUUAGCGGCGGACGGGUGAGUAACACGUGGAUAAUCUACCUAUAAGACUGGGAUAACUUCGGGAAACCGGAGCUAAUACCGGAUAAUAUAUUGAACCGCACGGUUCAAUAGUGAAAGACGGUUUUGCUGUCACUUAUAGAUGGAUCCGCGCCGCAUUAGCUAGUUGGUAAGGUAACGGCUUACCAAGGCAACGAUGCGUAGCCGACCUGAGAGGGUGAUCGGCCACACUGGAACUGAGACACGGUCCAGACUCCUACGGGAGGCAGCAGUAGGGAAUCUUCCGCAAUGGGCGAAAGCCUGACGGAGCAACGCCGCGUGAGUGAUGAAGGUCUUCGGAUCGUAAAACUCUGUUAUUAGGGAAGAACAAAUGUGUAAGUAACUAUGCACGUCUUGACGGUACCUAAUCAGAAAGCCACGGCUAACUACGUG